UACGUAGGUGGCAAGCGUUGUCCGGAUUUAUUGGGUUUAAAGGGUGCGUAGGCGGUCUAUUAAGUCAGCGGUGAAAGACGAUAGCUUAACUAUCGAGGUGCCAUUGAUACUGAUAGACUUGAGUGUAGUCGAGGUAGGCGGAAUGGACGGUGUAGCGGUGAAAUGCAUAGAUAUCGUCCAGAACACCGAUAGUGAAGACAGCUUACCAGAGUACAACUGACGCUGAGGCACGAAAGUGUGGGGAUCAAACAGG
rnacentral:rRNA from 1 species